rnacentral:rRNA from 1 species
CGCUUAACACAUGCAAGUCGAACGAAAAAUUUAUAUCUGAACCUUCGGGUGAAGAUAUAAAUGGAAAGUGGCGGACGGGUGAGUAACGCGUGGGUAACCUACCUUGUACAGGGGGAUAACAGUCUGAAAAGGCUGCUAAUACCGCAUAAGACUACAGUAUCGCAUGAUAUAGUAGUAAAAGCUCCGACGGUACAAGAUGGACCCGCGUCUGAUUAGCUAGUAGGUAAGGUAAUGGCUUACCUAGGCGACGAUCAGUAGCCGGCCUGAGAGGGUGAACGGCCACAUUGGAACUGAGACACGGUCCAAACUCCUACGGGAGGCAGCAGUGGGGAAUAUUGCACAAUGGGGGAAACCCUGAUGCAGCGACGCCGCGUGAAGGAAGAAGGUUUUCGGAUCGUAAACUUCUAUCAGCAGGGAAGAAUAAAUGACAGUACCUGACUAAGAAGCCCCGGCUACUACGUGCCAGCAGCCGCGGUAAUACGUAGGGGGCAAGCGUUAUCCGGAAUCACUGGGUGUAAAGGGUGCGUAGGCGGUACAAUAAGUCAGAUGUGAAAACCAAGGGCUCAACCUUUGGACUGCAUUUGAAACUAUUGAACUAGAGUAUGGGAGAGGAAAGUGGAAUUCCUAGUGUAGCGGUGAAAUGCGUAGAUAUUAGGAGGAACACCAGUAGCGAAGGCGACUUUCUGGAACAUAACUGACGCUGAGGCACGAAAGCGUGGGGAGCGAGCAGGAUUAGAUACCCUGGUAGUCCACGCCGUAAACGAUGAAUGCUAGGUGUCGGGGGUCGAACCUCGGUGCCGCAGUUAACACAUUAAGCAUUCCACCUGGGGAGUACGAUCGCAAGAUUGAAACUCAAAGGAAUUGACGGGGGCCCGCACAAGCGGUGGAGCAUGUGGUUUAAUUCGAAGCAACGCGAAGAACCUUACCAAAUCUUGACAUCCCAUUGACCGUUUCUUAAUAGAAACUUUCCUUCGGGACAAUGGUGACAGGUGGUGCAUGGUUGUCGUCAGCUCGUGUCGUGAGAUGUUGGGUUAAGUCCCGCAACGAGCGCAACCCUUGUCUUUAGUAGCCAGCAUGUAAUGAUGGGGACUCUAGAGAGACUGCCGAGGUUAACUCGGAGGAAGGUGGGGAUGACGUCAAAUCAUCAUGCCCCUUAUGAUUUGGGCUACACACGUGCUACAAUGGCUGUUACAAAGAGAAGCAAGACCGCGAGGUGGAGCAAAUCUCAUAAAAACAGUCCCAGUUCGGAUUGUAGUCUGCAACUCGACUACAUGAAGUUGGAAUCGCUAGUAAUCGCGGAUCAGAAUGUCGCGGUGAAUACGUUCCCGGGCCUUGUACACACCGCCCGUCACACCAUGGAAGUCGGGAGCACCCGAAGCCAGUGACCUAACCGUAAGGGAGGAGCUGUCGAAGGUGUAAUCGAUGACUAGGGUGAAGUCGUAACAAGGUA